AAACAAUCCCUACUCAAUCUGGAGGCGUAUUUACUGCAGAUCAGUUUCCAGGUAACCACAGCUCCCUUGUCCAGGGGGCCUUGAAUCCAGGUAGUAGUUUCCUGUUCCACGAGGAGAUGGAGAAGGAGGCCAUGCAUCCUCCCCCAGGAAGCAGGAGACGGAUUACAUCACUGCUUGUAAAAUGAGGGUAACAAUUGCCCUGGGUCAGGGCAGUCUCAGCGCUCCACCCAGCUCCAACCUGCUGGGCCAGGUGUGCCUCAGCCCUCAGGAAUGGACAAAAGUCUGGCUUAAUUCUGGCAUGACCCCAACCUUGAGAACGUCGAAUUCAAAUGAACACAGAAUCGUCUCAGAGACAUGGCUAAGCCAUCUUCAUACCCAU
rnacentral:lncRNA from 1 species